GUGAGUCAUCGAAUCUUUGAACGCACCUUGCGCUCCUUGGUAUUCCGAGGAGCAUGCCUGUUUGAGUGUCUUGAAGUCAUCGACCCCUCCGGUUUCUUUCGAGGACCGGUGGCGGUCGGAUUGUGGGGGCUUGCUGCCGCGAGGCUGCUCCCCUCAAAUGCGUCGGUUGGACCUGUGGGUCGGACUCGGUCGGGCGUUGUAUCGUCCUCGCUCUUGACCGAGAAGUUCCCCUUCCGCGUCCUCCCGCGACUCGCCUUUGGAGUGGCGGUCAAACACCCUUUUGAAAUCUGACCUCAAAUCAGGUAGGACUACCCGCUGAACUUAAGCAUAUCAAUAAGCGGAGGA
rnacentral:misc_RNA from 1 species